GGGGAGGCAAAUCCAGAAAUAACGUCCCAGUUCGGAUUGUAGUCUGCAACCCGGCUACAUGAAGCUGGAAUCGCUAGUAAUCGCGGAUCAGAAUGCCGCGGUGAAUACGUUCCCGGGUCUUGUACACACCGCCCGUCACACCAUGGGAGUCGGAAAUGCCCGAAGUCUGUGACCCAACCUCAGGGAGGGAGCAGCCGAAGGCAGGUCGGAUGACUGGGGUGAAGUCGUAACAAGGUACC
rnacentral:rRNA from 1 species